AAAUGACUCUCGGCAACGGAUAUCUCGGCUCUUGCAUCGAUGAAGAACGUAGCGAAAUGCGAUACUUGGUGUGAAUUGCAGAAUCCCGUGAACCAUCGAGUCUUUGAACGCAAGUUGCGCCCGAAGCCAUUAGGUUGAGGGCACGCCUGCCUGGGUGUCACAU
rnacentral:rRNA from 2 species